rnacentral:tRNA from 1 species
GGGGUUGUGGCUCAGCGGUAGAGCACUUGCCUCACACACAUGAGAUCCUGGGUACAAUCCUCAGCACCA